CUGUUUUCGUUUGGUAUAACAACACAGCAUACCCUAGUGAAUUCUAUGGUCCAACAGGUCCAGAA
rnacentral:tRNA from 1 species